GCAUGUUUGAGUCCCUGAAUGUUCUGCAACAUUACUGGUUUUGGUCCUUGGGUUUUCUCAGGCUACAGUUUCUAUUCCUCAAGUUGUGGGAGCUUGUAAAAUGCACUUGGUGAGUGCGUUCACUUAGGAAAAGAACAAAAAUCACUGAGUCUGCCAGAAUUGUCAACAAGGAAAGUAUGCCAAGACUGUGAAAUAUGCAGGCUCAGAAAGGAGUGGACGUAUUUUAAAGGAGCAAACUAAACAAACCCUUUCUGUUUCCACAGGCUCUCCCCAGCAGCACUACCUGAUACGCCCUUCCUAUGACAUUCCUGUUUCCAGAGGGCUGCUGGUGUCCGCCCCUCUUGGUUUGAGGAGCUGUGGCAAAACUCUGUCCUGGCCAUGGUCCCUGCUGCUGGACAAGCUGGCUCUCCAUCCCAUCUCUAGUUUGCACUUUGGAGCCUGUCUCCCUGAGCCUUUCCACAUCAAUCUAUAUACAUGGCACAUAUACAUAAUGGAGGAGAUAGGAAUAUCUAAGAGAGCAACCUUCUGUGAAAGAACGAGGACAGUCUGCUCCUGUGAAGACUGA
rnacentral:lncRNA from 14 species